rnacentral:rRNA from 1 species
GUGGUAUCCUGUCUGAAUAUGGGGGGACCAUCCUCCAAGGCUAAAUACUCCUGACUGACCGAUAGUGAACCAGUACCGUGAGGGAAAGGCGAAAAGAACCCCGGCGAGGGGAGUGAAAAAGAACCUGAAACCGUGUACGUACAAGCAGUGGGAGCACAGAGCAAUCUGUGUGACUGCGUACCUUUUGUAUAAUGGGUCAGCGACUUAUAUUCUGUAGCAAGGUUAACCGAAUAGGGGAGCCGAAGGGAAACCGAGUCUUAACUGGGCGUUAAGUUGCAGGGUAUAGACCCGAAACCCGGUGAUCUAGCCAUGGGCAGGUUGAAGGUUGGGUAACACUAACUGGAGGACCGAACCGACUAAUGUUGAAAAAUUAGCGGAUGACUUGUGGCUGGGGGUGAAAGGCCAAUCAAACCGGGAGAUAGCUGGUUCUCCCCGAAAGCUAUUUAGGUAGCGCCUCGUGAAUUCAUCUCCGGGGGUAGAGCACUGUUUCGGCAAGGGGGUCAUCCCGACUUACCAACCCGAUGCAAACUGCGAAUACCGGAGAAUGUUAUCACGGGAGACACACGGCGGGUGCUAACGUCCGUCGUGAAGAGGGAAACAACCCAGACCGCCAGCUAAGGUCCCAAAGUCAUGGUUAAGUGGGAAACGAUGUGGGAAGGCCCAGACAGCCAGGAUGUUGGCUUAGAAGCAGCCAUCAUUUAAAGAAAGCGUAAUAGCUCACUGGUCGAGUCGGCCUGCGCGGAAGAUGUAACGGGGCUAAACCAUGCACCGAAGCUGCGGCAGCGACGCUGAUGCGUUGUUGGGUAGGGGAGCGUUCUGUAAGCCUGCGAAGGUGUGCUGUGAGGCAUGCUGGAGGUAUCAGAAGUGCGAAUGCUGACAUAAGUAACGAUAAAGCGGGUGAAAAGCCCGCUCGCCGGAAGACCAAGGGUUCCUGUCCAACGUUAAUCGGGGCAGGGUGAGUCGACCCCUAAGGCGAGGCCGAAAGGCGUAGUCGAUGGGAAACAGGUUAAUAUUCCUGUACUUGGUGUUACUGCGAAGGGGGGACGGAGAAGGCUAUGUUGGCCGGGCGACGGUUGUCCCGGUUUAAGCGUGUAGGCUGGUUUUCCAGGCAAAUCCGGAAAAUCAAGGCUGAGGCGUGAUGACGAGGCACUACGGUGCUGAAGCAACAAAUGCCCUGCUUCCAGGAAAAGCCUCUAAGCAUCAGGUAACAUCAAAUCGUACCCCAAACCGACACAGGUGGUCAGGUAGAGAAUACCAAGGCGCUUGAGAGAACUCGGGUGAAGGAACUAGGCAAAAUGGUGCCGUAACUUCGGGAGAAGGCACGCUGAUAUGUAGGUGAAGUCCCUCGCGGAUGGAGCUGAAAUCAGUCGAAGAUACCAGCUGGCUGCAACUGUUUAUUAAAAACACAGCACUGUGCAAACACGAAAGUGGACGUAUACGGUGUGACGCCUGCCCGGUGCCGGAAGGUUAAUUGAUGGGGUCAGCGCAAGCGAAGCUCUUGAUCGAAGCCCCGGUAAACGGCGGCCGUAACUAUAACGGUCCUAAGGUAGCGAAAUUCCUUGUCGGGUAAGUUCCGACCUGCACGAAUGGCGUAAUGAUGGCCAGGCUGUCUCCACCCGAGACUCAGUGAAAUUGAACUCGCUGUGAAGAUGCAGUGUACCCGCGGCAAGACGGAAAGACCCCGUGAACCUUUACUAUAGCUUGACACUGAACAUUGAGCCUUGAUGUGUAGGAUAGGUGGGAGGCUUUGAAGUGUGGACGCCAGUCUGCAUGGAGCCGACCUUGAAAUACCACCCUU